AGAUUGAACGCUGGCGGCAUGCCUAACACAUGCAAGUCGAACGGGAGUAGCAAUACUCUAGUGGCGGACGGGUGAGGAAUACGUAGGAAUUUGCCCUUAAGUGGGGGAUAACCCGGGGAAACCCGGAUUAAUACCGCAUGACCUCGAAAGAGCAAAGGUGGGGGAUCGCAAGACCUCACGCUUUUGGAGAAGCCUACGUCGGAUUAGCUAGUUGGUGAGGUAAUGGCUCACCAAGGCGACGAUCCGUAACUGGUCUGAGAGGAUGAUCAGUCACACCGGAACUGAGACACGGGUCCGGACUCCGUACGGGAGGCAGCGAGGUAGGGGAAUAGUUAGGACAACGUGGGACGACGAAGCCUGGAACUACCGAGACAUCGCCG
rnacentral:rRNA from 1 species